rnacentral:rRNA from 1 species
CAGUCGCCACGGGAAUACGUAGGUGGCAAGCGUUGUCCGGAAUUAUUGGGCGUAAAGGGCUCGCAGGCGGUUUCUUAAGUCUGAUGUGAAAGCCCCCGGCUCAACCGGGAAGGGUCAUUGGAAACUGGGAAACUUGAGUGCAGAAGAGGAGAGUGGAAUUCCACGUGUAGCGGUGAAAUGCGUAGAGAUGUGGAGGAACACCAGUGGCGAAGGCGACUCUCUGGUCUGUAACUGACGCUGAGGAGCGAAAGCGUGGGGAGCGAACAGGAUUAGAUACCCGCGUAGUCCCUGUCUCUUAUAC